AGCUUGUUGGUGAGGUAACGGCUCACCAAGGCGACGACGGGUAGCCGGCCUGAGAGGGCGACCGGCCACACUGGGACUGAGACACGGCCCAGACUCCUACGGGAGGCAGCAGUGGGGAAUAUUGCGCAAUGGGCGAAAGCCUGACGCAGCGACGCAGCGUGAGGGACGAAGGCCUUCGGGUUGUAAACCUCUUUCAGCGGGGACGAAGCGAGAGUGACGGUACCCGCAGAAGAAGCACCGGCUAACUACGUGCCAGCAGCCGCGGUAAUACGUAGGGUGCAAGCAUUGUCCGGAUUUAUUGGGCGUAAAGAGCUCGUAGGCGGCUUGUCACGUCGGGUGUGAAAACUCGGGGCUCAACCCCGAGCCUGCACUCGAUACGGGCUAGCUAGAGUGUUGCAGGGGAGACUGGAAUUCCUGGUGUAGCGGUGAAAUGCGCAGAUAUCAGGAGGAACACCAGCGGCGAAGGCGGUGCUCUGGGCCGGUACUGACGCUGAGGAGCGAAAGCGUGGGGAGCGAACAGGAUUAGAUACCCUGGUAGUCCACGCCGUAAACGUUG
rnacentral:rRNA from 1 species